GCAUCAAUUUGCAGAACUGCUCAUGUUGUUAUCUUCACUUGCAAAUACCCCAUUUCCUCUGCCCUCAUCUGAAAUUGUCCCUUUUCUAGUUGGCAUUCUAGAGUCAGAUUCAAGCAAUGUCAAAACCAAACAGUCAUGUUUGGGUGCACUUCACAACCUAUCCACCAUGUUGGACAAUGCAGGAGAUUUAGUCUCCAAUGGGGUAGUGGACACACUCUUGAAAUUGUCCUCUGAUAAAGAAAUCUCCGAGAAAGCUCUUGCAACAUUGGGGAACUUGGUUGUGACCUUAAUGGGGAAGAAGGCUAUGGAAGAAUAUUUUGUGCUUUAUCAAGCAGAGCGGAAAAAAAGAACCUGAUGAGGCAGAUUUUGAAGAGGCUGAACAAAAAAGGCUAAGCAUGAAUGUUGACAUCACUACUCCAGAAAUCCGUGAAGAAAUGUAUGCUAAAGUUCUUAGUAAGGAGAAGGGGAACUGAGUGAGAGGUGUUGGAGCAGGGGUUACUUGGGUUGAAGUCCCUGGAAUCCAUGUUGAAGAGCGAGGAGUAUCAAGAGAAGUGAAACAGUUGCGAGAGCAAUUGGAAGAGCAAGCGAAAAAGGCACAAGAGAGAGAAGCACACAUGAUGGAGGAACUACAAAGCAAAAUAGCUGAGCAAACAAAACGGAUGGAACAAUUGUUUGAAGUAAGAUGCGUAGAGAUGGCACUCCAAAAAAUGGGAGAGAUGUUUAAAUAAUGCGGAAUAUCAGUGGAUACGCAAGAAGAUGUCAUGCAAACGAUGUCUCAGUUUGCUCGUGACACGUCUCAAAGGACAUCGACUGUUACUUUUUCACCAGAUGAUGAUGUCUACCGUCCUACAAUGCCAUUUGAUUGCCCCAAUAUGCAAAUUGAUUAAUCAAGAAUCAUGCCUCUAUCAGCCAUUAUGCAACAAGAACGGGAGCUAAUCUUGUGGAGAUGGUGGUCAUUGCUUCAAGACUAUUAGGAUUUCAAUUCAAUGUCAUGUUAGGAUUUCAAUCCAGUACUAGAUUAGGAUUUGAAUUCGGCAUUUAUUUCAAAUUAUGUAGACCUUAUAAAUAACAAAACUAUUUAUGUACUUCUGGUAAAAUUUAAAUGU